rfam:Ciona savignyi cont_47448, whole genome shotgun sequence.
UAGGGAUAGGGAAUUGCAAUUAUUUCCCUUGAACGAGGAAUUCCCAGUAAGCGCGAGUCAUUAGCUCGCGUUGAUUACGUCCCUGCCCUUUGUACACACCGCCCGUCGCUACUACCGAUUGAAUGGUUUAGUGAGGUCCUCCGAUUGGACCCGGUCCGGGCGGCGACGUCCGAGCCGGCGUCCGAGAAGACGAUCUAACUUGAUCAUUUAGAGGAAGUAAAAGUCGUAACAAGGUUUCCGUAGGUGAACCUGCGGAAGGAUCAUUA